rnacentral:lncRNA from 1 species
CAGUGGAGACCAGUGUGUGCGCGCGCACUGGGUGUGCUGGCCGUCGUGGCGUUUGUAUGUGCAGGAGUGCUGCAGCUGCAUGCGACUUUGAGUCUGCUCUGGCUAGGCUGCAUGUUAGCGUCGUUAGUUGGGCACCUGGCCAGGUUGUUAGUAGUGCGUGAGUUGAAGUUUGUUAGCUUACCGCGUACGUAGCUGGAGGAGUUGUGCAUGCAGUAGCUGCUGUUACGAUCGGAUAGAAUGAGCUGCGUAGAGCGCGUUUGUGCGCGUCGUGCGCGCGGCCGGAUCGAGCGGCAGAGUGGAGAGCACGUUUGCCGUGCGUAUAAGGCUCUCCGUUAUGUAUUGCUGCCAGUGGGCGAGCCGGUGUGAGAAGAAAGAAAAGAUUGAGCCGUACGUGCGGCUAGGCGUUCGUCGCCGGAAAACUUCUGUUGUCUCUUGCUCCUUCUUCUACCUCCAUCCGCAGAGAGAGAGAGAGAGCUAGCUAGGCCUGCCCCAACAUUUGGUAUACAGAGCUUUGUUGCGAUCCACUACGUCGACCAUGUCCAUCGUCCCGUACGGCGCCGGAGGGAGCACGGUGUCGCUCCCCGUGCCGAUGCUCACCGGUGACAACUACACCGUGUGGGCGAUCAAGGUGGAGGCGAACCUCGACGCGCAAGGGCUGUGGGAAGCGGUGGUUUCGGCGGAGGACUCGGCGGCGGCGGUCAUCGCGAAGAAGGACAAGCCGGCGAGGGCAUACCUCCUCGGAGCGCUCUCCGAAGACAUCCUGCUGCAGGUGUCGUCGAAGAAGACGGCGGCAGAGCUGUGGGCGAGCCUCAAGACGCGGUUCGUCGGCGCAGACCGGGUGAGGGCGGCGCGGCUCUCUACUCUCCGCGGCGAGUUCGAUCGCAUGCGCAUGGAGGACGGCGACGAGCUGGACGCGUACGCCGGGAGGAUCAGCGGCAUGGCGGCAAGGUACGCGGCCCUCGGAGCAACGCUCGACGACGCGACAAUGGUGAAGAAACUGCUCGACACCGUGCCGGACCGGCUGUAUGCAGCGGUGGCCGGAAUUGAGCAGUUCUGCGACGUCGACGACAUGCCGUUCGAGGAGGCGCUUGGGCGGCUGAAGGCGUUCGAGGAGCGGACGAGGCGGCGCACUCAGGACAGCGGCGGACGAGGCGGCGACCAGCUCAUGCUCACGGCGGCUCAAUGGGAGACGCGGCAACGUCAGCAAGGCGGCAAGUUCGACAACGACGAUGUUGACGCGGGCAGCACGGCGUCGGGCAGCAGAGGAAGGCGGCGUGGUCGGUGCUACAACUGCGGUGUGCGUGGGCAUUUCUCCCGCGACUGCUGGAAGCCAAAGAAGGCGACGGAAGAGAAGGCUCUCUUUGCCGACAUCGACGACGACGGACCUGCACUGCUGUAGGUCGUGUAUUAGGGGGAGAUUGUUAGGAAAAUAAAACACGACGCAGCAGUGGAGACCAGUGUGUGCGCGCGCACUGGGUGUGCUGGCCGUCGUGGCGUUUGUAUGUGCAGGAGUGCUGCAGCUGCAUGCGACUUUGAGUCUGCUCUGGCUAGGCUGCAUGUUAGCGUCGUUAGUUGGGCACCUGGCCAGGUUGUUAGUAGUGCGUGAGUUGGAGUUUGUUAGCUUACCGCGUACGUAGCUGGAGGAGUUGUGCAUGCAGUAGCUGUUGUUACGAUCGGAUAGAAUGAGCCGCGUGAAGCGCGUUUGUGCGCGUCGUGCGCGCGGCCGGAUCGAGCGGCAAAGUGGAGGGCACGUUUGCCGUGCGUAUAAGGCUCUCCGUUAUGUAUUGCUGCCAGUGGGCGAGCCGGUGUGAGAAGAAAGAAAAGAUUGAGCCGUACGUGCGGCUAGGCGUUCGUCGCCGGAAAA